CGGACCGGUCAAUGUGACGUCAUGCCAAUUCUUCCAUUCGGGCUAGACGCAGGGGAUUUAAGUCUUGGCCAUAACCUUUGUAGUGAACAAAUUGUGUUUGCACCUUCGAUUCCAGUCUUCGACAAAAUGAGACGGUCUAUGCAUGUGUGCAGGAGAGGGCUCAUAAGUUUUGAUACGAAGUAUCUCUCUGAAAAGCCUAAACGUGCUUUGGGUGGAAAAGCAAAUAUCAACUUUCCAGUUGUAGCGGCAUACUUUACGGAAAUAUAU